rnacentral:rRNA from 1 species
AUGAACGCUAGCGAUAGGCUUAACACAUGCAAGUCGAGGGGCAGCGAGGGUAGCAAUACCUGUCGGCGGCCGGCGCACGGGUGAGUAACGCGUAUGUAACCUGCCCGCAACAGGGGGAUAACCCGGCGAAAGUCGGACUAAUACCGCAUAAAACAGGGGUCCCGCAUGGGAAUAUUUGUUAAAGAUUUAUCGGUUGCGGAUGGGCAUGCGUACCAUUAGGUAGUUGGUGAGGUAACGGCUCACCAAGCCUUCGAUGGUUAGGGGUUCUGAGAGGAAGGUCCCCCACACUGGUACUGAGACACGGACCAGACUCCUACGGGAGGCAGCAGUGAGGAAUAUUGGUCAAUGGGCGAGAGCCUGAACCAGCCAAGUCGCGUGAAGGAUGACUGCCCUAUGGGUUGUAAACUUCUUUUACAAGGGAAUAAAAUGAGAUACGUGUAUUUUAUUGCAUGUACCUUGGGAAUAAGCAUCGGCUAACUCCGUG